AAAAAGAGAAUGUUGCUUUCUCAUUUCAGUUAGGAGAUUCAAGAAGAAAAUUUCAGAAAAUAUUAAUAGCUUCAUCUUUGUAGUCUCUUCCUAGGUCAAAGCAUAUAUUCUGCAUGUUCAGUUAUAAGAAGGAAUAAAAGUAAGCUUCAUUAAUUUAGUAAACUUUAAUCCGAUUUUAAAAACAAUAAACCAAUUUCUCAAAAAAAUGGGAUGCAAACAGUGCAUUACGUCAUAUGACAGGAGUAAAAUUUGUUAUUUUCUCCUGCUUUAUAAAACUUUCUGUAACCUACAUGGUAGGAAUAUUAACAUUCAAAUAUUUCUUCUUUAACGCAGUAAAUAAAUUCAGCUUGUAGUCAAGUAAUGUUAUUUCUAGCAACAGUUAGAUAAAUUUGUCCCUAAAUGCCCAAGGAAUCUCUGAUAUAGACAUGACAGAUUAAUUUUUCUCCAUUAGUUUAUCUGACUAAACAGAUACAGUGGGGGUGUAAAGUAUUAUAGGUCAGUAGGAGUAUUUCAAAAAGGCCAUAUUUGACAAAUGCAGAAACAAAGUGUUCAGAAUAAUAUCCUAAGAUUAAUUAAAAAAGGUACCAAGGCUUUCUCAUCUCUGUUUUUAAUGUCAUAUAACACAAAAUUAGUUCUUUUUUUCAGUCUAGAAUUUUACAAUCAUUCUUUGAACAAGCAAUAUAGAAAGGGAAUGUAGAAUUAUUCAGAACAUAACUUGUAAGUAAUAAAAUUAACAUUUCCUAUUACAAGGAAUAAUAUUCAUUCUCUAGAGGUCAAUGAUAUGACAUUUCAUUUUUCGUUGUAUUUGACUUCCUACCCUUUUUGCUUCUAAGGCAAAUAUAUCGUUACAAACCAGCUCACUCUUUCAUUUUGUAUCUUUACCACUUGAUUUUCUUUUAUAAAUUCUUCAUACUACUAGAAAUGUAGUUCUGUAAAAAUUAAGGACACAGCUCAAGAAAUAAAUUCAUUCUGCAGUGCUACCCCACUACUAGGAGGCUUGAACAAAUUGCAUUUUCAUUGUGUUAGGUACUGUACACACAGAGAAAAGAGUAAAUUCCUUCAUCCAAAAAAUAGUAAUCUAAAUAUUCUAAUGAAAAAUGAGAGUUUCUGCUGCUCUUUUAAAAGGUUAAGUCUGAUAUUCAUAAAUUAAAAAGGUAAUUCAUCAUUCCUAUAUGAUCCGUUCAUUUUAAGCAUAAUCAAGAAAAUAUCAGAAAAUUGAUUUUUCUAUCAACAAUAAAAAUAAAGCUUGGAAAAGUUUAUAUGUUCAGACUAGAGCUCUUCAAGUACAAUGAACUUGUCGUCUGUGAACUGUCCAGUAUCUGUGGUCUAAAAAGCUGGAGAUUUUCCAAGACCAUAUGGUUGUAUAAGAUUUUGAAUAUUCUACUCAGUGACUCAGAUCAGAAACACACACACACACAAAAAAAAAAAUCUGAGAUCUCAGCUUCUGUGUCUUGCCAUUCAGGAAGUGUAGCUACAAAUACAAGUGAAAACUAGGAGGUUAGAUUUUCACAGAUAUUUUUAAAAGUUAAAAAUCGUGUAUCUGUGUCAGUUCUCGAUUAAUUCAAUUUGCUUUCCUUGUGUGUAAGAAAAUACAAAAGCUAUCUAGGCCUGUUAUGCACAUAAAAUGCAUUUUGACUGUAUUUGACUACAUUUCUUGGUUGGCUACUUAAACAGACUUAAACAGACUUACAAGGUAUGUUAUUCAUAACUUAAUGUAAUUUCCAACCUCCUUUAUCUGAACUGUGAGAAACUUAACAGGGAUAACCGCUUACAAGCAUCUCUAAAGACAUUUGUGCAUGAUCAUGGUUUCACCUGAGAAUGUUACUGUCUGUGACUUUCAAGGUUACUUAAGUUAUGGAAGAGAGCUUAGAUUUUUCAAAUGGUGGUAGUGCUGUACAUUGGCCUGAAUAACUGAAGCCUCUCCAGAGAAUUAAUAAGUUGAAAGCAUGUGUCAUGAUAUCCACUACAGGGAGAUAAAGUUUAUUCACCAAUGUUUUUCCCUGAUGCUUUUUGUUUCUCCCCUGCUGCACCUGAGUCUUCAUCCCACCUACUACACUAUUGUGACUGCUUUCUCUUGGGCUUGAAAUGUAUACAAAAUUGAAAGUUGGGUAAGAAUUAAACCUCUCAACUUUAAAUCCAAAGUCUAAAUAACUAAAGGUUGGUUUUAAUGUGAGUUUUAGAAUAAAGGGACAUCAGCAACUACAGAAAGGAAAACCAUGAAACUUUACAGGGACUCUGCUUGGGUAGAAGAACUGGUUAGGCUGCACUUUUUGAAGAAAUGGCAAGUAAAUUAGGAUCUGAGGAAAAAACUCCAGCAAAAUUCAAAUAUGUAAAAAAUGAUAACUCAAAAUUUACUUCCUGAACCAUAACAUUCAAGAUUUGGAUUCAGAAUUAUUCUAUUUCAUGGUGUUGGAGCAGCUGUGCUAGCAGUCCAUUUCCAUGCCUGAGGUAAAGAAAGUUUCAUAAAGGUUCCUUGUCUUUACUAAAAAUCUCUCUACGGUAGAAGCUUAAAACAUGUAGUUUUACAAAGUCUGCCUAAAAAAAAAAAAAAAGAAAAAAAAAUAGAAAAGGAGAACUCAGCGGUGUGUGGAUGGGUAGUUACUAGGAAAAAGCACCAACAUUAGGUAGGCACUAUAGAUAUCUCCAAAAUACAUCCAAAUUCCUGAUCAGGAUAGCAUGGUAAUAUGUUGUGAUUUUCUGUUUCUUUUUUGCCAGGCUUGAAAGACAGCUGUCACUGCGAGUGGAUAAUAGGGACCACUAUUCACUCCAUCAAAUUUAUUGAGGAAUUAAGGACUGUCAGAAGCUGGAAUGCUAGAUGCGCUUUGAGAAAGAAGUUCUGAGAAUGGUCUGCCUUGAUCCUUCCUUCCUUCUGGGAAUAUACAGUUGAUUUAACAUGAACCAGCAGUGUGCCCAGCUGACCAAAAAGGCCAACAGCACCCUGGCUUGUAUCAAGAAUAGUGUGACCAGCAGGACUAGGAAAACAUUCCUGGUUAUGGAACACUUCAACGUGUACUUAGCAUUAAGAUCUGUGGAGAGUUUUUGGGCCGUAUGCUGUGAAGAAGCCAGGGCUUGGGGUGGCUUGGUGCACUAGGACCGCACGGAAGUAAACAGAAGCUGGUCUGCCCUCGACCCAGGCUGCAGGAGGGGCACUGCCAUCGUUGCUGCGCAUGAAUAGCAUGUGGACAGUGCCCUGCAGCUAAUCACCAUCGUGGAAGUGGAAGCGUGAACUGCAAGUGUAACCAAUCGUAGCCUGUGCUUGCCGCAUGGCCUUUUGGGUAUAGAGUAUAUAAGGGCUGGAAAAAACGUGGUCUUGCGGACAUUGAUAUUCAGUGUUGUUAAGAGUUCAUUAAAGGGUACUGAUGUUAAAUUCAUAUUGAAUUAGACUCAUUACUCUCGCCGGCCCGCCUGUCGUGCUCAAAGAGGUCCUGCCGGCAUUUUGCAUUCUCCACAUCAUCUCACGACAAAGACCAUGUUAAAGUUCCACAGAUUUAGUACAGAAAUGCAAAGACUGCCAUCACAGGGAACUGGUGUUUGUAUUUUUACAAUAUUAUCCAAUAACCACUGAAAGUUGUGAUAAGAAUUGAAUAAGAAUUGAGAAAAGGAAAAAAGAAAAAGCCCCUAAAGCACAUUCUUUCAUUAAAUGAAAUCGAAAGGAAACUGCACAAGAUUUCUUCAGGUAAGAAAGUUAAAUGUUCUCUUAAGAUUAUUUUUAUAUCGACACAAUGUGGCAUUAAAAUACAUUGGAACACUUUCACAGAGGAAAGGCUCCAGGCUUUAAAAGCAGCUGAGAUUACUUACAUCCUGUCACCAUAAUUUUUUUUCCCCCUUAGGUCAUAAAUAGAUCCUCUGCUAUUGGCAUCCAAUAUACUUCAGGAGAAAUCCAAAUGAACAACCUAUAUUUGAACAAUUGCAGAACUACUUGACCACGUGGACGUUAGAGACAAGUGUGGUCCUUGGAUGAUUUUAUAUAGUAAAUCUCCCGAUUUAUUAUCUUCAGAUACUUUAUAAUGGAACUACAGGUGUUUGUGGUAGGGCAAUUCAGUAGCUAUCUUAAUUCAAAGUCUUCAUGUAAUACAAUUGUUUGGAGUGCAUUCGUCCCUGACAGCUAUUAGUCCUCGUAUUACCACAAACUCCCAUUCUGAAAAUUUUCCUUUUCCACUCCUGCCUCCUUGUUUCUCUUGCCAUCUCUCCUAUGGUGUUAGGGUACUCAAAUGUGACACUGCGAACUCUUCAUUUUAGAAAAGUUCAAAACUUUCCCAACAAAUAUUCAUUGGCUGUUUUCCAUACAGAACCAGCUAAAAGAGUAUGUUGAACAAAUUACUUCUUAAUUUAGCCAUACAGAGUUGCAUACAAAUGGCAAGCACAUUUUAUACUCCUAUACAGUUAAACUGACUGUAUUUUAGGCUGCUAAUGUGUUAUGAGUAGUGACGCUCAGGCUGACUUGCAUCAUAUCAACUAUUAUUUCUUUUUAUGUUAAUCUCCACUAUUGGCUUUUCUUGUUUAACACUACCAGUAUGUGAUCACACUCCCACUAGUUUUACAGCUUAAAGUAAAAAAAAAAAAAAAAAAAGUCCUUUAUAAAUUAGGGAUAUUAAUUUUUAAUCUUGAUUUUUAAUGUUCAGAACAUCAAUAGUAUUUUUCUAAUUUGAAAUCAAAAAUAUUCCGUUUAGGGGAUCUGUUGUCCAUAUAAUUCAGAGCCAUUGCAGUAUAAAACUGAAAAUUGUUUCCUUUUAUUUUUGAAUAGAUUUAUUUAUAUUUUCUGAUACUCAUGGAUAGCCAUAUUUAAACUAGUCAAAACCAGGUCCUAAGCAUAGAAUUUCAGGUUUUACCCUAAUGUUGAUACCAGUAUUUUAAAUGCUACUGGUUGAGGUCCAUCCUGUGUGUUCUAACACUUAAAGAAAUUUCUGGAGUUAAAUGUGUUAGUUAUAGCAUUUAUGAAGCAUUUUGAUUAGGUGUCAGACCUUUUUUGUACCUGCACAUGAAUUGAGGAUUUGGAGUCACAGACUAUUUCACAGUGCUACUGGUAUUAAAUGGCAAGUUCUUAUGCGUAGGACAACAAUUCACAGCAAUUUCUUUUUACUGCAGCUGGCAACUUAUAACUUGUGACUGCAAGGUGAGAAACUGUAAAUGUGCAAAGCAGUUCCAUGAUGAAGUCUUGAGUAUUUUGUUUAUCUCCCCUGAAUUUCAAGUACUAGCAUUACAGAUGCGCUUGUAUGUUUGGAGUAUGAUAUUUUAAAGUAAAAAUUGGGUCAAGUUUCAUAGAUGAAGAAAGGCUUUUUGCAAAUAUUUUCAGUGUGUGACUUUUUAAAAAUGUUGGAUACAGUGCAUGCAUGCAUUGCAUACUGUGUUGUACAAAUAGGUAAACUAUUACUGUGAGGAAUAAUAACCUUUUUUUCCUCAUGAAAAUGCAUGUAUCGUGCCAUGAGUAUUUUCAGAAUAAAAUUGUCAGGCCAUGAGAGGAUGAAAACUUUGAAUGUUAACAGAAGGCUGGCUAGUUAAAAGAAAAAUAUGGGUUUUUUUUGUUGUUUUGUUUCAACUAUAUAAAAUAAAUAAAUAAAUAAAUAAAUAAAUAAAACCCACAAAAACUAAACAAAUGAAAUUAAUAAAAGUCUAUAUUGUAUGAUAUAUUAUAAUAACCCAACACAAAAUAAAUAAAUAUUUAUAGAAAUAGUAACUUUCUAACUAAUGUAAACAUAUUAAAUAAUAACAUAAUUAGUUGUUUAAGAUUAUUUACAUUUUCUGAAUGCAAUUCAGUUUUACAAAUCUUUUAACUUUCAGGUGUCUGAUUUUAUGCAGGAUAUAGGUCAGAUUUUAGACUUUUAUUCUAUUUAACUAUGAAUUUUAGAAGACUAGGAUUAGACAUUUAAGUGAAAAAAUCUCUAAAUAUUGUUGAAAUUUUUGGUUUUUCAUUCUUGUCAUUAUAUUGGUGAAGAAAUAAAAAAUAUAUUAUUGGAUUGUUUCUUUAAAAGGUAUUGGUUCUGACCAGUACAGUAAUUUACUUUUUCUUAGACAAAAUAAAUUACCUGUCAAGAUGCCUCUUAACGUAGAUUUUUUUUCAGAUAUAAUAUGUUGAGACUGAAGAAUAUAAUUUUAACACACAUUUCAUCUGCUACAACAUGAUACAAUUAUUCUGUUUUAUGAUGUCUAUGUCUAAAACUGUCUAAAUAGAUACAGCUUAUUGUUGUUAAAUCCAUUUUUUUUUUCCAUUUGAAACACAUUUAAACAAAAAAAGGUAUUGAAAAAACAGGGUUAGAACCUAGCAUCUAUCAAAUCAGUAUGACGAAAGUAUAUUUCAAGCUAGAUAUCAGUAGCUAAGAAUGAUGUAAAAUAGAAGUAUUUAGUAUUGGAAUAAUCACCAAAUGGUGAUAUUCUUAUUUUAAGGUAUGGAGAGUAAGGCAAAUCAAUCGUUUUUACGCAUAAAUUGUUUUAUUUAUGUUUUUAGUAAAAAUUUCAACCCAGUGCUUCCCUUUGUUGGGUGGUUUGGUGGUUUUUUUUUUGGAUGUAUGUUCCCUUUUAGCCUGUUUCUAGUAGAAGAUACGACGAGGAUAAUCAGUUGACAUCUGCAAGACAAGAUGCUUUAUGUGUGAAGUUGUAUCAACCAAAACAUCUGAAUGAUAUUGAGCUCACAAUACUACAAACCUUGAUGAGUUAGUGAACCUGUGCAUUAUUAAUACAGAGGCAGUUCAAUGGGGAAAUAUUGCUUUACAUGAAAUAUGAACACAUUGCUAGAGCUUCAGAGGAGUGCUUAGAUUCACUUGCACAUUUACAGAUAAUGAACCCAUAAUAUAAUAAAGUUGAGAUUAAAUUAAAGACGUGAGAUGAAAAUGUUCAGUACUAUUUUUUAUUUUGUAAAUUUGUUUUGCUGCUGUCUUGUACUCAGAAGUCUCAAGGUCUUAAACACUGGUUAUAAUAAAUGUAAAACCAUUAGUCUUUCAGGACACUUUAAAUAUUUUAUUGUCCUACAUGUCUUUUGUGAAUUAAAAAAAAAAAAAGUCAAAAAAACCCAAAACAGAUCAGGUCAUUUGAGAUUGUCUUAUGAUGAUGGAAAAAAUAUUUUUUAUUAUAUGAGCAAUAAUAACUAUUUUUUUUUUCUACUUGAAUAACUAAAAUAUAUCCUUCUCCAAACACUGCUAUGAGUCUUCUGCAUAUAUGGACUUUGUAGUCAAUCCAUAAAAUAACUUUACUGACAUACGUAUAUAUUUUUCUCUAGUGAUAAUUUGUUUAUGGCCCUGAUUUUCAAGUGUAUGUAUACCAUGAAAUAACCACUCCACUGUGAACACAUUUGGUGAGUUCCUUGUAUUAACAGUAUGGUUGAGAGUCCAUAAGUUUAUAUCUGACCGCAUAAGGUAAAAACCAAAGAAAACCAAUAUCUAAGUAUAAAAGUUAUGUUAUUGUUAUGUAAAAAAUCUAUAUAUUUCAUGUGUGUAUGUAUGCUACCUGAAAUUUAAAAAUGUUGAGUCAUUGUUCUUUUGUUAUUGAAAACAACACUCAGAAUUAAAAAUGGGAUUCUAAUAUGGGUUUUCACAUAAGUAAAAUUGUUUCUCCUACCUGAUCCUUCUUAAAUGCAGUUCUCAAAAGACUGACAAGAAGAGGGUUCUGCAGUCAAAGAGAAUAUAAGCAUAUCUUUGGAUGAAUAAAUAUAUUAAAAGCAACCAGCUGGAACUUAGGAGGCUUGGAGAGUAAUAGAUAAGUUUGUCACUUGGGUACACAGAAAUAGAAAAACUCAGUUAAGUUACAUUUUAACACAGAAAAUAUCAAUGUUCUUAUCUAUAAUAUUUUAUCCUUAAUCCCUUGAAUUUGCCAAAAGUAGCAAGUGAGUUUUAUAACAGCCAGGAAUGGAAUGUUUCAAGCCAGUAUAAGAAGAACUUUUUUUUUCAGGGGGUGACUUUCAAAAUGUUGCUGAGUUGAAUAGCCUGGAAUGGCUUCACACAGAGGGGACAAGUGAUGGCUAAGGACAGCUAGAGGUUCUUUUACUUUAGAAAGCUGUCUAAUUUUUCAGUCAAAUGCUUUGUGUUACUGGGCACAGUAGCAACACUGGUAAAAUAAUAUUCAGAUACAAAUCACUUUGAACAGAUAUGACUAGACUAACUAUACAAAGACUCCAGAUAGAGCUUAUUUUUUAACAUCUUUUUCUAUUUUUUCACCCCAAGGACCUUUAGAGGUUUAAACAUUUGACUUGUAUUUAUAAUGAACUGUAAUGUUUUGUUAUUGAAUUCAGUGAACUGAACUCUUCGAAAAUAGUCCAUUGCCAAGCAGUGCUUAAGGAUUGUAUCUAUUGACUGAAAAGGUCUUUCAUAUUCUGUAUUCAACAUUGUAUUUGAAGACUGGGAUUAUGAUUCUGCAGUGCUGAGUUACAUAAAAUCAGAAUUUUAAGAUAACAUUGCAGUACUUUUUUUUCUCACCACUUACACUCCCAAUUAAUUUCUUUCUAAACACAAAUGUCUUUCCUAAAUAAAGACACAGGAAAAUAGUUUGUUGAUUGUAUAUUUUGAACUUUAAAAUUCUACAGUAAGAUGUACAUUUAAUCACAGAUAAUGAAUUAUCCAAUAUCAGUUAGAAGUUGCUAUCACACUUUUAUUUAAAGUGCAAUUAUAAAACACUGAAAGUUUGCAAAGUUUUUUUCUGCAAAAUAUCCAGGGAACAUCUUCCUUCACCUCCAGAAGUUUCACUUUUUCUUGAAAGUCAGUUAUUAAUCCAUUUAUAUUCAUUCAUUAAGAACUGAAAAAAAAAAAAAGAAAAAUAAAAACAUAGACCACUAUAUAAGAGAUUGGAUGAUACUGAAAAUAAAUGUCUUUGAGUAACUGAUAUGGUACCAUUCCUGUAAUAGAAUUAAGUACCAAAGAAGUACCAAAAAUGUAGUGUCUUGCAUACAAAAUACCAUACAUCUGCAUGACUCCUGCAUCAAAAUAAAUGUCUUUAAACAAGACCUUUUGUAACAGAUUGUAACUUUUAAACACUUAUUGCAUUGCUGACAAAGCACACUGUGCAUCCUGCAAAAUGAAAUUAAGUAUCCUGUUAACCCUGGGUAUAUUAGAUAAGAGACAGGAUUAUUUACCAUGGUUUAAGUACUGUGAGCAUUCCAGCAUAAAAUUUUUAAUGGGAACUUGCUUGUAUGUGCCAACUUGGAAUUCAGAAUGCUUGGGUUGCAAACCUGGAUUUAAUGUCUAAGCAAGUUGACACUGAAACUAUGAAUUCUCAAGGCUGGGCCAGAGUUCUUCCGGGCAGGGAUUUCCCCUCAGGACAAGCUUGCUUUCUGUUCUUAUGAGGUUAAAGUUGAGUAGACUAACAACCAUCUGUUUUAAGUUCACAGACUCAUAGGAUAGCUGAGGCUGGAAGUGCGCCCUGGAGGUCACCUGAUCCAACACACAUGGGCAUGCAGGGAUACAUGGAACAUAGGAGGUUCUACUUAAAAAUGAGAUGAAACUUCACGGUGAGAGUGCCAGAGUACUUCAACAGGCUGCCCAGGUGGACUGUGAAGUCUCCCUCCCUGGAGACAUUCAAAACCUGCCUGGGUGUGUUCCUGUGUAACCUCAUCUAGGUGUUUCUGCUCUGGCAGGGGGAUCGGACUAGAUAAACUUUCGAGGUCUCUUCCAAUCCCUAACAUCUUGUGAUUCUGUGAUCCUAUUGCACAAGACAAUGCAACGCUUAACUCAGUUUAAGAGAAGGAGAGAGAUUGUCACCACUGUGGAUUCAGUGAUAGUGGUGUCCUCUACUUCUUCUUGUUGAUCCGCGGUGCAGUCACACUCCCCGUUUGGGAAGCGCCUGUCAUGGAUUUUUAUAGUCUCAGCCUGGGUGAGGCUCUCUAGCUCCUGUUGUGUCUGCACUGUCCGUGAUACAUUGUUACGCUAGGGAUGAACGGAGUGGUCAGUACACCUGCACUGUUCCCACCGUGACAUUUCCGCCAUGACCUCUUGAUACGUUGUUGCAGUCCGUGCUGUGACCUCCUGAUACGUGCAGCUUCUUAUGCGCAUGAGCUAAUCAGCUGUCGGGGUUUCAGUUGCCGGAACCAACCUGCUUCUGGGCAGAUGAACUCUUGUCUUUGUUACAAUGUGUCAGAAAGUAGGGACUGCUGUGGUUUCCACUGGGUCCAAUUAUCAACUUAAUGUUUGAGAGAUAAAGUCCAUCAGUACCACAAGGUCAUAGCAGAGAGCAUUUGUUUAUGCAAAUAGACAGCUACUGGUGCAGAACUGCAUACUGAGCUAACGAAGCUGCUCACAUCUCCCAGCCUGGUGGAAACAGCUUUAAAAGUGCAGAAAUGUCUGCAAUGAAAAUGGCUAGUUGUAUCGGAGUCACUUCUUCGGACUUUGGUGGGCAGAACACAUCUCUCAUAUCCUGUACUUUGCCGUUAAAUGCACAAGUACUGUCUGGUUGUCACUGAAGGAAAAUGUAGCUUAGCAUUUGGUGUAAGGCUUUCUUGAUUGCAUGUGCUCUGGUUACUCACUAUUGAGGACUGGCUGUUGAAGCUGAUGAACUGAUCUAAAAAUAUUCCUAGUACUUUUAGUUUAAUUUCCUUUACCCAUUUUCUUUUACCUUUCUUUCAUUGUUACCAAGUCAGUGUAGUCUGUUGCAUAGCUAUUAAAGAGGAAUGGUAAUGGGUAUUAUUUAAAAUUUAUCAAUACCUAGUGAUACAAACUGUAAUGGUCAGAACACUUACUGCUUAUACUUACAAAUACCUAGCAACAUCCAGUCUGUCUGUGCUUGGGCUUUGGUUGUUUCGAGUUUGAAUGCAGACAGAUAAUCUACAAAAGUAACUCUUUUGUAGACAGAAGUUGAGGUUGCUGGUGUUUCAUGGUGAGGGUCAAAGUUGGGCAAUGAAAUGUGGGAACUGGAAGGAACUUGGUAUUGUUUCCAACUCCAUGCAUUUGAAAGUAUUCAAAAGCCUAAUUAAAUCAAAUUGACAAAACUUUUCUUCUUUUCAUGUAUAUGUUUCCCUGAAUUUACUAGUGUAUUAUUAUAGCAUUAGCUGAAAAUGCUUAUUGAAUUGCUAGUUUAAAUCAUUAUUACAGCUCCUAUAAAAUAGAAUAUAUUGUCAGAAAUAUAUCUGAAACCCCAGUUCAAUCUCCUUUGCUUCUGCAUAGAGAUGCCUUUGAUAGGUGAGUACAGCAAGGGAAGGAUUCCAGAUUUCUUUUCUUCUGCUCUAUCUAUGAGUUUAGGUGAAGUAAUAACACUCCAUCAGGAUUUAACUGCUUCUACUACAGUGGGAUAUUAUACAUUAAUCUCACAUGGUAGCAUAACAUUUCAUGUUUAUGGAAUUGAUGUACACAUUUGAGGAUGCACAUCAUAAACAUCUUCAUAUGGCACACAAUGGAAAAAUUGGCAAGGAUUAUAUCUUUCAUAUAAUCUUUCACUUAAAAUUCAGUUUCUGUCUUGUUGCAUGACUUCAGUGCUUGAAAGUAGAUACUGUCAGUGAGAUAUAUGUAUGAAACAAUUGUAGGAACCCACAGCUGAAAUAAGAUUUUUUUUUUGGAUGGGGGGCUGUCUUAAUAAAGUUAAGAUAUCUUAAACAGCUUUGACAUGUUUUGGAUUAAUACAAUUUUUCACGUAUUGAGAGAUCACUAAACACAAUUUUACACACACAUGUAUAUGUAGAUAGUUAUAAUACUUGUAAAUAUUUUCAAUUAAAAAAAUGUGUUUCAUUAUCAAACCAAAUUAUAAAUACAAUAUUGUGGGAGUGAUUGAGCUGCCAUUAUAGCAAUACCAUUCAAUAAGUUAGUGAUAGCCAAGAGACCAUACAAUUCCCUUCCCUUCCCUUCCCUUCCCUUCCCUUCCCUUCCCUUCC